rnacentral:rRNA from 1 species
ACUGCANGGGUGGAGUGCGGCAGAGGGGGAAGGAAUUCCGCGNGUAGCAGUGAAAUGCGUAGAUAUGCGGAGGAACACCGAUGGCGAAGGCAAUCCCCUGGGCCUGCACUGACGCUCAUGCACGAAAGCGUGGGGAGCAAACAGG